ensembl:lncRNA
CAUUAGUAUUGUAUUCCGUUUGUUUUGUUGUUUUUUUUGUUUUGUUUUGUUUUUUAACUCUGUUUUAUUCAUUGUGUUUUAAUAGUGGAGAGGUUUGUUUCACCGCUCAUCAUGGAAUUUAAAGGUGAGGUUUGUGCUUUUGGGAUUUUGUUUACAUUUUUCAGACCCAGAAAUUAGCUCCGCCCCCAGUUCAUGAGACAAGUCACGAGGAAUACGUGGAAUUUUUAUUAUUAUUAUUUUAUUAUUUUUUUAAAUAAACAAGGGUUGGUCUUUGUUAAAGAGAGGACAAGAUUCUGAGAUUCACCUCACAGGCAGCAGAGGGCACUACAAAUUGCAAACAGCUCCUUUAAAUCCGUUUGAACCAGUGAUCUGUUGAAUCAGACCUGUUCUUGGACUUCAAUCUACAGAAUUUAUUUCUAGCCUGAGUUUCACACAGCUGAUCUGGAGUCUGUGUGUGUGUGUGUGUGAGUGUGAGUGUGAGUAAUGUUUUCUGAAACAGAUUGACGAUGACCGGUGCUUGUCCGUCCCCGAGUGUUGUAAAGUAGAUGAUUCUGAACAGGAGGCAGAAGCCUGUGAUAUCGAUCCCACUAACGUCACGUACUAACGCCACCGUGUUUCACUCCACUUCAGAUGCUUGGACCCGUGUGUCGCGUCAGGCUCAUGUUUGGGAGUCUAGAAGAUCCAGUAAAGGCCCUCAGAUGAUCAGCAACAUGUAUUCAUCAUCACAAGACCAGUCCAGUCGCUUGGAUCCAUUACCUCUAUCGCUGUGUUAUUACAUUGCACCACUAGGUGGCGGAAGUGAGUUAGAAAUGGUUCCAGGUAUUCAAAGUAUGAUCACUUUUUUAGGCUUAAUCUUCAGUUUUAAGUCUAGUCUCAUUGUUUUUUUUGUUUGUUUUUUUUAAUCUUUCCAGCCUUCUCUCUCCCCCUUCCCUAUUUUAAUCUUUUUAGUUUUAUUUUAGUUUUUAAUUGGAUAUUUAUUCAUCAUAUAAUGUUAUAUUAAAUCUUUUCUUGUAUUAAAUGGUAUAUCGAUUGCCAUUUAUCCUUUAGCUGUUUUGUAUAAUUGUCACUUUGAACUGCUCGUUGUAUGAAAGGUGCUAUAUAAAUAAACACGGUGAUGACGAUGAUGAUUAUUA